GGGCAGAGGAGGGCCGCUGGGAGUGACACGUGGGAUUCUGGGCGCUUCUCUGUUCUCCGCAUGUAACCGACUCACCCCAAGUAAAAGUCACACGGAAGGAAGAUGAAUUCGAUUACUGAUUAGAGAUUUCCUUAAUACAAAAUGCUAUUGUGCUCACGCACCUUCUGUCAACAUAUCUGGACCCUGGAAGGCCAUGAUUACUAACCUAGAUGAUAAGCUGCACACGUCUGGAGUUGAUAUAAGAUUGUAAGCUCUUUGGGCAACUAAUAAAAAAUGCUAUUGUGCUGGC